GGGCUUUGUUUCCUUCUCCUUUGCAGAAAGGACACUGGGCUGAUGGUGUCCUCCUAGCAAGUAAGCUUGCCUGCAGCUGCUAAGACAGCAGUGCCCAUAAAAGUAAAAAUAAGCAUCACCAUGUCAUCCAGAAUGGCUUUCUUCAAUUCCUGAAUUGAACCAUGUCCAGUAGUUGAGUUCCUCUGCAUCGACCAGCUUGAUGUGGUUGCAGGGCAGAGGUGCCCCUACGUGCCCUAGGAUACCAGAACAAGAGUGAAAGGUUUGGGCCCCUGGCAUCUUCCUCUAUACCUGUGAUACCCAGUACACAUCCCACCACCCCCAAGGAAGGCCCGGGAUGAUGAUACCUGGCAUCCCAGAGCUGCUCGUAGGAAUCCCAGAACUGUUGGUGACGCGGGGGCUGCUCCAGUGACGAUCAUCCUCACAUGCCCCCCGAGACUGGCCUGUGGGAAGAGAGAAGCUGCCAAUGAUGGUGACACAUGAGGUGGUCCUCAUUUACGGUCUGCUUUCAACAGCUGGACCCUGGGUGCUGGGGAACGGGUCAGGAAGAGAGAGAGCCACGUGCUGAGGAAGUCGCUUCUCUUUUGU
rnacentral:lncRNA from 1 species